rnacentral:rRNA from 1 species
AUACGGAGGGGGCUAGCGUUGUUCGGAAUUACUGGGCGUAAAGCGCGCGUAGGCGGAUUGAUCAGUCAGGGGUGAAAUCCCGAGGCUUAACCUCGGAACUGCCUUUGAUACUGUCAGUCUUGAGUUCGAGAGAGGUGAGUGGAAUUCCUAGUGUAGAGGUGAAAUUCGUAGAUAUUAGGAAGAACACCAGUGGCGAAGGCGGCUCACUGGCUCGAUACUGACGCUGAGGUGCGAAAGCGUGGGGAGCAAACAGGAUUAGAAACCCCAGUAGUCC